GCAUAUCAAUAAGCGGAGGAAAAGAAACCAACAGGGAUUGCCCUAGUAACGGCGAGUGAAGCGGCAACAGCUCAAAUUUGAAAUCUGGCUCUUUCAGAGUCCGAGUUGUAAUUUGCAGAGGGCGCUUUGGCUUUGGCAGCGGUCCAAGUUCCUUGGAACAGGACGUCACAGAGGGUGAGAAUCCCGUACGUGGUCGCUAGCUAUUGCCGUGUAAAGCCCCUUCGACGAGUCGAGUUGUUUGGGAAUGCAGCUCUAAAUGGGAGGUAAAUUUCUUCUAAAGCUAAAUAUUGGCCAGAGACCGAUAGCGCACAAGUAGAGUGAUCGAAAGAUGAAAAGCACUUUGGAAAGAGAGUCAAACAGCACGUGAAAUUGUUGAAAGGGAAGCGCUUGCAGCCAGACUUGCUUGCAGUUGCUCAUCCGGGCUUUUGCCCGGUGCACUCUUCUGUAGGCAGGCCAGCAUCAGUUUGGGCGGUGGGAUAAAGGUCUCUGUCACGUACCUCUCUUCGGGGAGGCCUUAUAGGGGAGACGACAUACCACCAGCCUAGACUGAGGUCCGCGCAUCUGCUAGGAUGCUGGCGUAAUGGCUGUAAGCGGCCCGUCUUGAAACACGGACCAAGGAGUCUAACAUCUAUGCGAGUGUUUGGGUGUCAAGCCCGAGCGCGUAAUGAAAGUGAACGGAGGUGGGAACCCGCAAGGGUGCACCAUCGACCGAUCCUGAAGUUUACGGAAGGAUUUGAGUAAGAGCAUGGCUGUUGGGACCCGAA
rnacentral:rRNA from 1 species